AUAAGUAUCCAUUGAUAUGUGUGACAAAACAUACCAACUGGUGUCAACAUCAGCUAGGCUAUGUUGGCAUUUUCUGAUGGUUCUUCAUGACUGAUCAUAAGGUACAAAAUAAAUAAUACAGAAAUACAGUGCUGGGCAUUGGUAGACAAUCAUAUUAAUCUGUCUAUGUAUCUAUUUCUUCUGUGUAAGCAGUUUCUUAUGGAUCCCCAGUUGCUGCCUCCUUCUGAAGCACAGGUUAUUAGAGAGGCUGAAAACCAGACUGGAACAGGCUCUUCAAAGGCAGCCUCUGGACCUGGACUAUUUAGAGUUCCUCUGUACCAGUGAGUUGAGCCUAGUUCACUGAGUACUCACAUGCCAUUUCCAGAAGAGGUCAUAGGCAGACGGGAAAAGCAGGCCUUAAAAGAGGGCUACAGGAUACUGGGGUGCUCCCAAUGAUAACAGAACGGCCAGAACUGGCUAGAGUUCUGUUCCCACAAGAUGUCUCAUCUCUGAUGGAUCCUAAGAUGAUUUUGAAAAGAGUGGUUUGACCAGAUGAGGCGGAGGUUGACGAAGAUGAAAUGGAAGACUGCCGUGUCACAGCCUACCUCAGACAAUACGUUGCCGUGCCUACCUCAGACAAUA